rnacentral:rRNA from 1 species
GACGAACGCUGGCGGCGUGCCUAAUACAUGCAAGUAGAACGCUUAAGGAGGAGCUUGCUUCUCUGGAUGAGUUGCGAACGGGUGAGUAACGCGUAGGUAACCUGCCUGGUAGCGGGGGAUAACUAUUGGAAACGAUAGCUAAUACCGCAUAAGAGUAGAUGUUGCAUGACAUUUGCUUAAAAGGUGCAAUUGCAUCACUACCAGAUGGACCUGCGUUGUAUUAGCUAGUUGGUGGGGUAACGGCUCACCAAGGCGACGAUACAUAGCCGACCUGAGAGGGUGAUCGGCCAAACUGGGACUGGGACAAGGCCCAGACUCCUACGGGAGGCAGCAGUAGGGAAUCUUCGGCAAUGGACGGAAGUCUGAACGAGCAACGCCGCGGGAGUGAAGAAGGUUUUCGGAUCGUAAAGCUCUGUUGUAAGAGAAGAACGAGUGUGAGAGUGGAAAGUUCACACUGUGACGGUAUCUUACCAGAAAGGGACGGCUAACUACGUG